UUGGGGGUUGGUUGAUGAGUAUAACUGGUUUUGGGGGGCUGGGUGCGUUUGCGGGGUUGCUCGGCGUCUCCCCCUGGGAAUCAGGCAUUUCCUGAUGUCUGUCCGGGCAUUUGAAGCUUGCCCGGGCGGCCGCGUCCUGCGAGUGACUGGACAGAGCGUAGCCAAGAGCCAGCCUGGCCGUGGGGCAUGGGCUCACGCUUUUGGAGGAGUUUCCUCUGCUACAAAGUUGUAAUUGUAUUUAUUCCUACUUGUGUCAGGGCACGGCGGUGAGUGAACACAGCUUCCACGUGGUGGAAAUGGACAAACAAAAAGUAUUUAAAAACCUGCCGAGGAAUUAAGAGCAAUUGUUUUCUCCCUUGGGGGCUCGAUCCACACGGACACACGCAGGCAUCGCAGCGGUCCAGGGAUCGGUCCUGGAAACGUGCCCAAACCUCAUCCUGUUGAAGACACGGGAUCGACUCGCUUGGGGAAACCUCUGCGUACGUGCCGUCGCGUUUGUAGGAACCGACCUGACCUGUUGUUUUUGAGGAUUUUGGGGGCAGCAGGAGAAAUUGAGACAGGAGAGUUUUGGAAUGAGCAAAUGGAGAACUUCAACAUCUGUAUCUUUCCAACUACCUUAUUUGUAAGUAGUAGACAUUUCCUGAUACAUAUUUGUAUUUGUUCUUUGCAUCUGGGAGCAGAUUCCAAUCUGAUCAGGGCCACGUUGUGCCCACUGUUGAGCAUCUUGAAAUAUUAAACCGUGCUGUUACCCUGAAGGGUGGUUAUGCAUGUGGCAGUGACAGUGAACCUAAAGAAGUUUAUAAAGGUUAAAUGAAGACUCAUGGAGAGAGUCACGGAGCCAGUAAUGGAGCUACCUGUCUGGGAGUAAUCUGAAAGAAUAAAUCGAUCCACUUUACUAAGCAUUGUUCUGGGUUUGCCUGACAAAUCUUCUUUCAAAGGGAAUGUUUGCAAUUAUUUGACAGUUCCACAAUGUCUGUCCAAGAGAGGAAAAAAAUAGGAGGUUCAUAACAAGCACCGGGGUCUGCCUCCCACAGAAGCUAUUGUUCUGAACAAGUCAGUUGAUAUGUAUUAAUGUGUGCUGGCCCUCUAGAGGAAAUACUUCUAGAAGCACAGUUGUAGAAUACGUAAAACCCCUAAGUGAAUACAAAAUAAAAUCACAAUUUGAAUUGUAAAAAUGUAUUCAUUUAAAUAAAACACAUUCAGUGCUUUUUUCAUCUCA